rnacentral:rRNA from 1 species
CUACGGGGUGCUGCAGUGAGGAAUAUUGCGCAAUGGGGGAAACCCUGACGCAGCGACGCCGCGUGGAUGAUGAAGGCCUUCGGGUCGUAAAAUCCUGUCAGAAGGAAAGAAGUGUAUGGUAGCUAAUAUCUGCCAUACUUGACGGUACCUUCAAAGGAAGCACCGGCUAACUCCGUGCCAGCAGCCGCGGUAAUACGGAGGGUGCAAGCGUUGUUCGGAAUUACUGGGCGUAAAGCGCGCGUAGGCGGUUUUAUAAGUCAGAUGUGAAAGUCCACGGCUCAACCAUGGAAGUGCAUUUGAAACUGUAAGGCUUGAGUAUUGGAGGGGGUAGUGGAAUUCCCGGUGUAGAGGUGAAAUUCGUAGAUAUCGGGAGGAAUACCGGUGGCGAAGGCGACUAUCUGGCCAAAUACUGACGCUGAGGUGCGAAAGCGUGGGGAGCAAACAGGAUUAGAUACCCGCGUAGUC